rnacentral:tRNA from 1 species
GCCGGAUUAGCUCAGGUGGUAGAGCGGGUGAUUUGUAAUCACCAGGUCGCGGGUUCGACUCCUGCAUCCGGCACCA